CCUACGGGGGGCAUCAGUGGGGAAUAUUGGGCAAUGGGCGCAAGCCUGACCCAGCAACGCCGCGUGAAGGAAGAAGGCUUUCGGGUUGUAAACUUCUUUUCUGGGGGACGAACAAAUGACGGUACCCCAGGAAUAAGCCACGGCUAACUACGGGCCAGCAGCCGCGGUAAUACGUAGGUGGCAAGCGUUAUCCGGAUUUCUUGGAUGUAAAGGGCGUGUAGGCGGGAAUGCAAGUCAGAUGUGAAAACUCAGGGCUUAACCCUGGGCCUGCAUUUGAAAAUGUGUUUCUUGAGUGCUGGAGAGGCAAGCGGAAUGCCGUGUGUAGCGGUGAAAUGCGUAGAUAUACGGAGGAACACCAGUGGCGAAGGCGGAUUGCUGGACAGUAACUGACGCUGAGGCGCGAAAGCGUGGGGAGCAAACAGGAUUAGAUACCCGGGUAGUC
rnacentral:rRNA from 1 species